AUGGAGGUGGCUCUCGUGAGUGUGGCCACGGGGGCCCUUAACUCCGUCCUAGAGAAGUUGGGCACUCUGCUAGUCGACGAGUACAAUCAUCUCAAAGGGGUGUGCGGUGAGAUUAAGUUUCUAACUGAUGAGCUUACUGCCAUGCAUGCCUUUCUCUUUAAUAUGUCGGAGGAGGAGGAUCCUGACGUGCAGGACAAGGUAUGGAUGACCAUGGUGCGGGAGCUCUCCUAUGAUACAGAGGACUCCAUUGACGACUUGAUGCUAGGUCUUGACGACAAAGAUGCUAAGCCAGAUGGCUUCAUAAAGAAGAUCAAACACAUUCUGGGGACGUUGGGGAAGAGGAAGGCUCACCAUCGGACGUUCCAAGAUUUGAAGAAUCAAGUCACUGCGGCAGGCGAGAGAAAUCAAAGGUACAAGACACCUCGGGCCUUCUCCAACACAAAAAAUGGAACCGUUGACCCUAGGGCUCUUGCUAUCUUCGAGGAUGCCUCAAAGCUUGUCGGUAUUGACGAACCCAAGGCUGAGAUAAUCAGAUUGUUGACAGAAGGGAAUGUAUAUGCACCAAUGCAACAACAACAACCAAAAAUAGUCUCCAUCGUUGGAUCAGGAGGGAUGGGCAAGACAACUCUUGCAAACCAAGUGUAUAAAGACCUUAAAGGAAAAUUUGAGUGUCGGGCUUUCGUAUCAAUGUCACAAAAUCGGAACAUGAAGAAAAUCUUGGGACCUAUUCUCAGUGAAGUGGCAAAUAAAGAUUAUGCCCACACCAAAGCUAGGGAUGAACAACAACUUAUCUCCAAGAUCUCUAAUUUCCUUGUUGAUAAAAGGAGGUCGUGGAAGACAAUAGAGAGAAGGGUGGUGCUCGAAGGGAUCUCGUUAGCAAUGAUGGUGCACAGUGGUUUUACCCAAGUUCAGGCUCCAGAUGGCUACUUCAUUGUUGUUGACAACGUAUGGAACAAGGAAACAUGGGAUGUUAUUAAGUAUGCAUUCCCCAUGACCAGUCGUGGCAGACUAAUCACCACUACCCGUAUGAUUGAUGUUGUGCAUUCAUGUCAUUCAUCAUUCAGUGGCCAUAUUUAUAAUAUGAAGCCUCUUCAUAUGGAGCACUCAAGACAUCUAUUUCACAAAAGACUAUUCAGUUCCAAAGAAGAUUGUCCUUCAUACCUUGAAGAAGUUUCUAAGCAAAUAUUGGAAAAAUGUGAUGGGUUACCUUUAGCAAUCAUUGCUAUAUCUUGUUUGUUGGGUAACACAGAAAGAACAAAGCAGCAAUGGGACCAAGUAAAAGAUUCAAUUGGUCGUGCACUUGAAAGGAAUCCUAGUGUUGAAGGAAUGAUGAAGAUAUUGUCACUUACUUACUUUGAUCUGCCUUCCCAUCUAAAAGGUUGUCUCCUAUAUCUAAGUAUAUUUCUAGAAGAUUCUAUUAUUGAGAAGAAGGGUCUGAUAAGGAGAUGGGUUGCUGAAGGACUUGUUUGCAAAGAAGGCAGAUAUACAUCAUAUGAGUUAAAAGAGAAGUGUUUUAGUGAGCUCGUCAAUAGGAGUUUGAUCCAACCCGUGAAGGUGGACAAAUAUGAUAAGGUGCUUACUUUUCGAGUUCAUGACACGAUUCUUGAUUUCAUAGUUUCCAAGUCCAUCGAAGAGAACUUUGUUACUUUCAUUGGUGUUCCUAGUUUAACUAUCGGGAGACAAAGCAAAACUCGACGGCUCUCCAUGCAAGUUUAUGGGAAAGGAAAUUAUGUCAUGCCAAUGAACUUGAUAUUGUCUCAUGUCCGGUCACUUAAUGUGUCUGGGAAUUCUGUGAAAAUACCUUCCAUGACGGGGUUCAGUCGUUUACGCAGUUUGGACUUUGGACAUGCAGGCAAUUAG
rnacentral:rRNA from 1 species